UAAUAUUCGUUAUUAACGAUAUCAAAAUGGUAUCGGUAAUUUAAAAGUACAUGGGUAGCAUGUUUUUUUUUUUUUUGGAUAGCUGGCUACCCUAUUCUAGCUUACUUAUCGAAAGCUAGCGAGUUAACGUGAACUCUGCUUGUUAAACUGUGUCUGUCGCUGUCAUCCUUUGUAUAAGGGCCUACUAACGUUAAUCUUUAAAUCAAAAUAUUUUCCUUUCUUAUGGCCAAUUUCUAAACAAUAUUUGUUUUAUCACACCACAUUAAAUAUUAAGGUGACAUGUUGAGCAUGAGGAUGAUGUAUUUGUUGUUACUAGCAUGUUAAGUGUUUGGGUAUAUAGCUAGGCUAACGUUAGCUAGAUAAUGUGACAGAAUGUUGCUGUCAACAUGCUUCCUUGUAGCUUUGAUGCCCUGCGUAAAUACAUUGGCUAACUAUCUGGUUGGUAACGUUAGCUUAUUAUGUUAACAUAUAAUCUAACCUCUAGAUAUAACGUUAUCGUCAGUACAAUAGUGAUUUGAUACGCUCGAAAAGAACACCAGCCAGCUGGCUUGUUGCAUAGCGUUUUUUUUGGUCAUAAGCUAACGUUAGCGAGGGAGCUAAGGUAAUUAGCUAGUAGGGUUCCGGUCUUUGAAAUCCAAUGGAAUUAGGUGACCCAUAAUAUUGCUAGAACUAAGGCAUUGGUUAGCCAACCUGCUCCUGACUAAAUUGUGUGGGCUAUGCACUCUCACUGGCUUUGCCAGUUGUAUUAUGUAUACCUAGGCUGCAUUGUCAAUAGAAGGAGUUGCCGUUUGUGAUUUAAUCGUAGCUGACUAGCUAAAGUUAAUUCACUUAUUAGGCUGUCCAGGCCAUAUCACGAACUUUAAAUUCGCCAUUUUAAACAACUGGUCUGCGUCAAUUCCAGCCCUUGGAGGAAGAUGUCUUAUUAUUCAUCAUCCCGAAGUUCCUCCCGAAACUUGGAAUGUAAAGUUUAUGUUGGAGACUUGGGUAAUGGAGCUGCAAAAGGCGAACUGGAGCGGGCGUUCAGCUACUACGGUCCUCUGCGCAGCGUCUGGGUGGCCAGGAACCCUCCAGGAUUUGCGUUUGUGGAAUAUGAAGACUCCCGUGACGCCGAGGAUGCAUGCAAGGGCAUGGAUGGAAAAGUGCUUUGUGGGUCACGCAUACGCGUCGAACUGUCCACAGGUUUGUCCCGGAAGUCUCGCUAUGGUCGACCUGGCCGCCGCUCUUUUGAUCCGCAGGAUCGAUGCUACCAGUGUGGUGAUCGGGGUCACUAUGCCUAUGACUGUUACCGCUUCAGCAAGAGGGGAGGCAGUCGUCGCAGCAGGUCCCAUUCCAGAUCCAGGUCCCGCUCUAGAUCUAGGGGACGAAGGUACCGCUCACGAUCUCGCAGUCGUAGCAAUCGUAGCAAUGAAAGAAGGUACCGAUCACCCUCUUACUCCAGGCGCCAUGGCAGGUCUGCCUCUCCAGCCCGCUCUAAGUCUAGGACUCCUGUGCGAGGUCGUUCGCGAUCUCGCUCACGGUCUGCGUCACAUCCACGUGGUCGGUCUGCGUCACGUACACGUGGUCGGUCAGCGUCACGUCCACGUGGUCGGUCUGCGUCACAUCCACGUGGUCGGUCUGCAUCUCGAUCCCGAUCCAGGUCACGCACUCCAAGUGCUAAGAGAGACAGAGAGUGGGAGUCGACGGCUCAAGCAUUGACCAGGGUUCAUCCUUGCUGUGUAAAACGUCCUUCGGGAGGGUGAGAAAAUGCCCUGAGAUCAGCCUCCGCCAUGGUGGUUUCAUGAGGUCGUCCGACGCACGAUCUGACCAAGACGCUCCCAUCUGCACACACACACAGUUCCAACUACCCCAUUCCCUCCCAGAAAUCCAUGCACUACAACAACCGACAACCACAUCUACUGCGAACCAGUGCUGCGCUGAGAGAGAGCUCAGUCGACCAGUAAUGGCCCCCCCACACCUUCAAAUCUGCGGCCUCAAUGCUUAGCUUCUCUGAGGGUGUGUGUGUGAGAGAGAGAAAGAGGGAAAGGAGAGCUGACGAGAGAUCAGUCUUCAAGACCCUCCAAGUGUGUCUUCAAGUUCUAGCCUCCGUCGCUUCUCUGUUCAUGUUGUUUCUGCCACUGUCUUCAAAGCCGUUCCCGCUCUCGCUCUCCCAGCCCGAAAAAGAGCCCCACCCCUGGAACAGACUGAUAACAGAUGAAACUUAACCCAAAUCCCAUCUAUCUAUCUCCCCCUGUUUUUCCCCUGGAACAGACUGAUAUCAGAUGAAACUUAACCCAAAUCCCAUCUCUCCAUCUCCCCCUGUUUUUCCCCAAUCUUUUUUUUUUUUUUUAAGGACUGUGGUUUGUGUUUGGUCUCACCCACAUACACAUGUUAACACGAAAAUGUCCUGUUCUACCUAGUAUUAAUUACUAAUUAUUUUGUCAUUGUGUACAAGACUGGAACGAAAAGGACAGUGGCUUUGGUCAGUGAUUUUUGUUUUUACCAGAUUUAAUUUUUACAAUAUGCCACAUUUGUUGAGCCUUUCUUUUAUGACAUGUUAUUUAAUUAAAGAAACAAAAAAGAGGGCUGUGUUCAACAUUUAAUUUUUGCUGGAUGCUAAGUAUGGUUUUGAAAUAAAUCAGUCCAUUACUGCUGACUUGCAAGCCUAUUUAUAUUGCUUAAAUAUUACCUGUACCUGUAUUUUUGUUUGGAUUGAAGAAAACGAACCAGGCCGUUAAGAGAUUAAACAUGACAUGCUUUCCUUAAUCUAUAGUCUAUCCAUUACCAAACUAUAAUGUAAAACAACCUAUAGAUAUGACUUGGCCAAAUAAAUAUGUAUGUGAUUAA